UUUCGGUUGAUCCUGCCGGAGGCCAUUGCUAUCGGUGUCCGAUUUAGCCAUGCGAGUUGUACGUCUAACGUAGCAAACGGCUCAGUAACACGUGGCCAAGCUACCCUGUGGACCGCCAUAACCUCGGGAAACUGAGGCUAAUAGCGGAUAUCGCUCUCACGCUGGAAUGCGGAGAGCGUGAAAGGCUCCGGCGCCACAGGAUGCGGCUGCGGCCGAUUAGGUAGACGGUGGGGUAACGGCCCACCGUGCCGAUAAUCGGUACGGGUUGUGAGAGCAAGAGCCCGGAGACGGACUCUGAGACAAGAGUCCGGGCCCUACGGGGCGCAGCAGGCGCGAAACCUUCACACUGCACGCCAGUGCGAUAGGGGGACACCGAGUGCGAGGGCAUAGAGCCCUCGCUUUUGUGUACCGUAAGGUGGUACACGAAUAAGGGCUGGGCAAGACCGGUGCCAGCCGCCGCGGUAACACCGGCAGCCCAAGUGAUGGCCGCUAUUAUUGGGCCUAAAGCGUCCGUAGCCGGCCGGGCAGGUCCGUCGGGAAAUCCAUCCGCUCAACGGAUGGGCGUCCGGCGGAAACCGCUCGGCUUGGGACCGGGAGACCAGAGGGGUACGUCCGGGGUAGGAGUGAAAUCCCGUAAUCCUGGACGGACCACCGGUGGCGAAAGCGCCUCUGGAGAACGGAUCCGACGGUGAGGGACGAGAGCUAGGGUCUCGAACCGGAUUAGAUACCCGGGUAGUCCUAGCCGUAAACGAUGCUCGCUAGGUGUGGCGCAGGCUACGAGCCUGCGCUGUGCCGUAGGGAAGCCGUGAAGCGAGCCGCCUGGGAAGUACGUCCGCAAGGAUGAAACUUAAAGGAAUUGGCGGGGGAGCACUACAACCGGAGGAGCCUGCGGUUUAAUUGGAUUCAACGCCGGA
rnacentral:rRNA from 1 species